rnacentral:lncRNA from 1 species
AAACAGACCUUCCUGUUUAACAGCUCAAUGAUAAUUUUGGAGACGAUGGCCAGAAAAAACCGGCACCUAAAGUUCCGUAGUGAGCAAGGAAAAUCGUGUUUGCAUAACAGCUUUCAGAAUUGCCACUUGGAAAGGAGAAAAUUGAAGAAGGCCAACCACCUAGAUCCAGGUUCACAAAAAUGCUGCCUGCAGUUUAUCCCAUGUUUACAAGACUUAUUCACAUCAAGACUCAAUCACAGAAUUAUUCACAUCAAGAGGCUACACAGAGCCUAUAUUCUGGCCGGAUUAGGGGUUCAGAGGGAACUGAUUGAACGCCUUGCUGUUUUAAGCAAAAUCGCUGUUGAGUGGUUAUCAUUCUUUGUUAACAUGAAGAGUUAUGGAGAUUAAGACUUUGGUAAGUUGAUGCCAUGACAAAUUGGAAAUACUAAAAUCGUUGGAUGAAAUGCGGGAACGAACGUAAGUACGCGGCAAAGUCAACAGAAAAAGAAUAAGUCACUUUGUAACUUAGCUCGAAUCGCGGAGAAAUCGAGAAUGAUGGUAACCAUCCAGUACUAAACAAAAUCCUGCGUUUAUCAAAUUACCGGUUGCAAAAUUCAUCAAAUUUUGACGCUGCGAUUCAAAUCUUCCUCUGCCUACACGAGCCAAAUUCCCCUCUUUUCCAUUGCUAUAUCUCGUUUCGCCUCUCAGUCGCUCAAUAAAUAUUUGCAUUUGAACGCGAUGAUCUUUGUUUACAAGGUUUUCUCCCGCUUACAUCUAAUGAAAAACUUCUGAAGUUUUCAGCCUCGGAACGGUAUAUCACAGAAGGCAAGUUUUUUAAUCAAUCAGCCAAUAAACUUCAACUGUUCCUACGGUUCUUGUUUUUCAUCAGUACAUUAUUCAUCAGUACAUCAGUUUUUUCGUCCGAUUAGAGUGAUCUACUGAUCGAUCUAAUCGUUAACGCUUACCUAAGAUAAUCGAAUUAAUCAAUCGAAUUUAAUCAAUCAGUCAAUAAACUUCAACGAUUCCCAUGGUUGUUGUUUUUCAUCAGUACGUUAACAAUUCAAGCGAUUCACAGUAUUAGGUUGGUGCAUAUUAAAUAAAUAUUUUCAAGUUUACUCGAAAGAUAAGUAUAAACUGUAACAAGCCUGGUUAUCGUUUAUGUGCGGCUCAGCACUUCAAGCCUGACUGACACUCGGUGCGGAAACUCAACCUCGUUCCCACGCUAUUUCCACCACAUUACUUUACACCAAUAAAAAAAACUGCCACACAGCGCCUAUUGUCCAUUUUCUUGAACAGGAAAACCAACCGAAUAUCUGACUCGGGCCCUUUAUGACCAGAAUAAUAAGUUUACCCUUGUAAGAAAUGUUUUGACUGCUUGACAUGUUGUGUUACAGUUUUAAUAAUCGUUACUUUGCUUUCAUGUUGCUGAGUGAUUGAAGGAUCGAAUUUCGAAUCAUGUGAUAAGUAGAUGGGCUUUUAGAAGCACGUAGGGAGUAGCUGUUAAGAUUAUUAAAAACGUUUAAUUCUACAACGUGAGUCUUCAGUGUCACAGGGAAUUGGGGCAGGCAAUUAGAUUCCCCACAUCUUUAGCAGAGAUGCAGAAAAAAAAAACCUGGUUCCUUGCACAGUAUCUGGUUCCAACAAAACAAUUUCUGCACCGGCAUAUUCUCAAGAAUCUGGCUCCCAGCUUCUUCAAUGCCGAGUUUUAUCAAAGGUAAAUUCAACUUGGUUCAAGAUGGAAUGGCUUGUCCAAAUUGCGACGGUAAACCAAGUUCACGUAUCGAGCAAAUGGCCAAGAUCAGAAUAACAGCGAACAGUAAGCGAAACAGAUGAUUUAUCGCUGAAACUACAGGACCCUACAGCAUACCUACCCUAAACAUUGCAAAACCGGCAAAGGCUACGAAAAUUCAUUAGUACCAGCGUAAUAUUUCAAAUUAAGUGACAAACAGACAGCAUUCUAUACUCCUUUUGUAGUAGCCACGACCAGCAAUUUCACGAAAUCUACAGUUGAAGCCAUAACUCAUUCAAUCAUAUCGGGAUGGAAAUGAUGUAGGAUCCCAGGAUCUGUUAGUUCAUGUAGUUUUUGGCGCAUGUCUUAUUAAAUCUUCGUUUUAAAAUUAAGCCGGAAUACUUUUCCAAGGGAGUGGUCUGUUUUCGUUGGCUAGAAAAGCGUCACUUGAAUCUUUAAUAUUGUCGUUUCAUUUCGGAUGUCGUAGGAAAUGAUUAAUGUCUUAGUA